rnacentral:rRNA from 1 species
ACGGGUGAGUAACACGUGGGUAACCUACCUAUAAGACUGGGACAACUUCGGGAAACCGGAGCUAAUACCGGAUAAGAUAUCGAACCGCAUGGUUCGAUAGUGAAAGAUGGUUUUGCUAUCACUUAUAGAUGGACCCGCGCCGUAUUAGCUAGUUGGUGAGGUAACGGCUCACCAAGGCAACGAUACGUAGCCGACCUGAGAGGGUGAUCGGCCACACUGGAACUGAGACACGGUCCAGACUCCUACGGGAGGCAGCAGC